rnacentral:rRNA from 3 species
AAAUUGAAGAGUUUGAUCAUGGCUCAGAUUGAACGCUGGCGGCAGGCCUAACACAUGCAAGUCGAACGGUAACAGAAAGCAGCUUGCUGCUUUGCUGACGAGUGGCGGACGGGUGAGUAAUGUCUGGGAAACUGCCUGAUGGAGGGGGAUAACUACUGGAAACGGUAGCUAAUACCGCAUAACGUCGCAAGACCAAAGAGGGGGACCUUCGGGCCUCUUGCCAUCGGAUGUGCCCAGAUGGGAUUAGCUUGUUGGUGGGGUAACGGCUCACC